ACUGGGUUGGCGGAGUGGUUAAGGCGUGGGACUUAAGUUCCAAUGGACAAGUGUCCGCGUGGGUUGGAACCCCACACCCAGAG
rnacentral:tRNA from 1 species